CGCACGGGUGAGUAACACGUAUGCAACCUGCCUGCCACAGCCGGAUAAUCGGGAGAAAUUCCGUCUAAUACGGCAUAAUGCAUCGACGGGACAUCCCGUUGGUGCCAAAGGUUGAUUCCGGUGGCGGAUGGGCAUGCGUCGCAUUAGUUAGUUGGCGGUGUAACGGACCACCAAGACGACGAUGCGUAGGGGUUCUGAGAGGAAGGUCCCCCACACUGGUACUGAGACACGGACCAGACUCCUACGGGAGGCAGCAG
rnacentral:rRNA from 1 species